CCCCCAGCCUUGGGGCUCCCUGUUUGACACACUCAACUGGGGGCAACAGAACAAAUUCCAAGGCAAAGUUUCGAGAACGAUGAUUCAGAGGCUCGCAGAGGACAUUUAUGGAGCUGGGUACACACACACUGCCCCUAAGAUAUUCCCAUGACUUGACCUGGCUUCGUCUGAGGCUAUGGCACCAGCUAGAGACAGGCCAGGUAAGUGGGCUGCUGCCCCCCAUCUCCUUGCUGGGGAUCUUACCUGGGAUCCCUCCUCCUGCUGCUGGGAGCACAGGGGUGGGCCAGAAGCCCCCGAACUUGUACGGAAAUCGCUGCGUGAGUGCUGAGUCCCUCCCCACUUGUGACAGUCCAUUUCUAUGAAUGACACAUACCAGUUGAUAAAAGUUGAAAUCUCCUCCCUCCCUGCUCCAACGCUGACCCCGCUCCAAACCUGGCCUUGUGCAUCAGGACCUUGAGGGUGUAGGGGUCUCCUGCCCUGAGUGAGACCAGCUGUGCACCUGCCCCUUACUAGACAGUGAAUUCCCAAAAUGUGGUCCCUCCCUGGGGCCAACACAGGGCCCCGGGCUCUUCAUGGACCUCAGAGGUUAGCUGGUUGCCUGAAGGAAGGCUGGUGACUGCCGAGCUGCCAGGGCCUUCCUUCCCAGGCAACCCCCCCCCCCCCAGCCCCCGCCGGCCCGGGGACACUGCCCGCAGUUCCCACUUCGGGAAAUGCCAAGCGCGCGGCGCCGCCGGGACAGCUCAGCAGCCCCGCAGCCCCUCCGUCCACGCCCGGCUCCUCCUCCUCCUCCUCCUCCUCCUCCUUCCCCGGGGGUGGGGGGAGCCGGCUCCGGAAGCCCCGGCGCCCCCGCCCGGGCCGCCACUGGCGCUUUGGAGAAGGCGGUUCGGGCGCCACGCGGGACCUGAGCUCCCAGCCGCCGCCAGCUCCUUAGGAACCCCCUGACCCCUUCGGAACCCCCACCGACUCCUGAGCCACUGCCCGGCCCGGAGCUAGCUCCCCGCGCCCCACCCCGGAGUCCCCUGCUACCCCAGAUCUCCCCCUCCGCCCCCACCCCUCCCAAGAGCCCACCCCAU